GUAGGGAAUAUUGGGCAAUGGAGGCAACUCUGACCCAGCCAUGCCGCGUGCAGGAAGACGGUCCUCUGGAUUGUAAACUGCUUUUGAAUGGGAAGAACACUACCCUUGCGAGGGUAUUUGACGGUACUAUUAGAAUAAGCACCGGCUAACUCCGUGCCAGCAGCCGCGGUAAUACGGAGGGUGCAAGCGUUAUCCGGAUUUAUUGGGUUUAAAGGGUGCGUAGGCGGCUUGAUAAGUCUGGGGUUAAAGGCGGCAGCUUAACUGUACGCAUGCCCUAGAUACUGUUGAGCUUGAGUGACCUGGAGGUAGCUGGAAUUCCCUGUGUAGCGGUGAAAUGCAUAGAUACGGGGAGGAAUACCGAUUGCGAAGGCAUGUUACUACGGGUAAACUGACGCUGAUGCACGAAAGCGUGGGGAUCAAACAGGAUUAGAAACCCGUGUAGUCC
rnacentral:rRNA from 1 species